AAACUUGAAAUACCACCCUUUAAUGUUUGAUGUUCUAACGUUGGCCCCUGACCCGGGUUGCGGACAGUGUCUGGUGUGUAGUUUGACUGGGGCGGUCUCCUCCCAAAGCGUACCGGAGGAGCACGAAGGUUAGCUAAUCCUGGUCGGACAUCAGGAGGUUAUUGCAAUGGCAAAAGCUAGCUUGACUGCGAGCGUGACUGCGCGAGAAGGUGCGAAAGCAGGUCAUAGUG
rnacentral:rRNA from 1 species